CGUAGGGUGCGAGCGUUAAUCGGAAUUACUGGGCGUAAAGCGUGCGCAGGCGGUUUUGUAAGACAGAUGUGAAAUCCCCGGGCUCAACCUGGGACCUGCAUUUGUGACUGCAAGGCUAGAGUACGGUAGAGGGGGAUGGAAUUCCGCGUGUAGCAGUGAAAUGCGUAGAUAUGCGGAGGAACACCGAUGGCGAAGGCAAUCCCCUGGACCUGUACUGACGCUCAUGCACGAAAGCGUGGGGAGCAAACAGGAUUAGAUACCCUGGUAGUCCACGCCCUAAACGAUGUCAACUGGUUGAUGGGUCUUUACUGACUCAGUAACGAAGCUAACGCGUGAAGUUGACCGCCUGGGGAGUACGGCCGCAAGGUUG
rnacentral:rRNA from 1 species